rnacentral:lncRNA from 1 species
ACUUAUUUUCGUCAGAAAAAUAUGACAAUGAAAAAGUUGAAACGGACCGACUAUCUUCAAAAAUUUUAUAAAAAUUUUAGUGAGUUUCCAUGGCUGUUCAUCAUGGAUUUUAUAAAAUUUUUGAAGAUAGUUUAUUGCAUGUUUUCAUUUUAGUUAGACUCACAAUUUACAUUGUGUUCAAUAGUUAAUCUUGAGUGCCAAAAAAUAACAUUGACAUGUGCAAUUUUACCACAAUUAAAAUAUUAGCCUACAUAUGGAUGGUUAUGAUUAAUAUCUUAAUUAUUUCAUUGUUGAAUUAUGAUUCAAGAGAUAGAUUGAUUAACAAAUUGAAGAAAAUAAUAAACAAAAUUAAGAAGAACCUUGUCAAUAUAAAAGGUAGCAUGACAUGUUAAGAGAGUUAAGUUACUUGAAUACUGUAUGAGGUUAGUCAUAUUCUUAGCACAAAAUUAUCAAUACAAGUCCGUGAUUACUUUUUGAAAAUGAAACCGAAAAAUAUAAAGGAUCCCAAUAAGGGGACCAUUGGAACCCAAGAAAUAAGAUGAACAAUAUGGUUUUCCAUUCACAUCCCCAUUCUUUCUCACUUGUUAAAUCAUGUGUUAUAGUAUAUGCAUUAAAGUAAAUUGCACUUUUGGUCCAUGUCCUAUAUUAAUUAUUUAUGUAUUAUCCAAAGGGGACGAUUUUGCAUUUCUGAUUCCUAGUUCAUUCUAUAAAACUCUGUUCAUAAGGCGUAUUGAAGGAAAUAACCAUUUUCUUCUUGUCUUAUUCAUUUUCUUCAUCACAUUCGUCUUCUUCCUAUAUUACCCUAAAAUCUAGCCCACAAAGAGGUGUUUUCUUCAUCACAUUCGUCUUCUUCCUAUAUUACCCUAAAAUCUAGCCCGCAAAGAGGUGUUACUGAAAAAUGUGGAUUUUAAGGCCUUCAUAUUUUGGAUUUGUAUUUGUUGGAUGAAGAAAGAGAUGAUUUGUUUUGGUCUAUUUUAGGGUUUUGUAGGAAGAAAGAGCAUGUUUGUUCAAAUGUAGAAUUAUGUAUAACCCUACUCGUGCCAUCAUCCCACCUAAAUUAUCAACUGAACUCCUUGAUAACUUUUCCAUUAAAAACCAAAUAUGAGCAACAUGAACUUGACACCUAAAGAAACUAAAUCCGACUGGUAGUAUGAUUUUGAUUAACUUGGGUUGAGUUUAUGUGAAGUUACUUGACAACCGAAGGAGACUCCUACAUCGUAAGCGCGAUAAUCAAAAGUCAAAGAGAAUUCGGUUGGAGCAUUCCAACUACAAUGUUGUUUAUAGGAUUCGAUGAAGAUAUACAUAGGUAAAUUUUCUUUUCCGCAAUUGAAACUUAUGAGUGAGGAUGAAGUUUAAAGCCAAUAAGCAAUGGGUGGUGUGACUCGUGUGAAAAAAGAUCUUGAGGAGGAAGCGAAAAUACAUGCAGCGAGACCCGUGAAUUCUUAAAACAUUUUUUGCAAAUUAGUAAUGGCAUGUGAUGAUGCUCUUUGUCGUUGCCACAAUCUUCAAUCCCCCUAAUAAAUAAAGAACUCUUUGCCACAUGUCCUCUUCUCCUUCAUUUGGACACAUGACAUUUUCUAGAAUUUUUGAAUUUUCUAUUUUCCACUUGUCAUGUUAUUGUAUUUUUCAUUUUAUUAAAUUAAAAUUCCACAUUUAAUAUGUAUGGUAAUAUAUAUGUAAGGUAUUUAUUAAAAAAUGUUUAUUUAUAUAAUGUAUUCAAUACAUUAAAG